rnacentral:rRNA from 1 species
AUUGAACGCUGGCGGCAGGCCUAACACAUGCAAGUCGAGCGGAUGAAGUGAGCUUGCUCCUGGAUUCAGCGGCGGACGGGUGAGUAAUGCCUAGGAAUCUGCCUGGCAGUGGGGGAUAACGUCCGGAAACGGGCGCUAAUAUCGCAUACGUCCUGAGGGAGAAAGGGGGGGAUCUUCGGACCUCACGCUAUCAGAUGAGCCUAGGUCGGAUUAGCUAGUUGGUGGGGUAAAGGCCUACCAAGGCGACGAUCCGUAACUGGUCUGAGAGGAUGAUCAGUCACACUGGAACUGAGACACGGUCCAGACUCCUACGGGAGGCAGCAGUGGGGAAUAUUGGACAAUGGGCGAAAGCCUGAUGCAGCCAUGCCGCGUGUGUGAAGAAGGUCUUCGGAUUGUAAAACACUUUAAGUUGGGAAGAAGGGCAGUAAGUUAAUACCUUGCUGUUUUGACGUUACCAACAGAAUAAGCACCGGCUAACUUCGUG